rnacentral:rRNA from 1 species
GAUGAACGCUGGCGGCGUGCUUAACACAUGCAAGUCGAGCGAGUGAGUUCCUCGGAACGAUCUAGCGGCGGACGGGUGAGUAACACGUGGGCAACCUGCCUCAUAGAGGGGAAUAGCCUCCCGAAAGGGAGAUUAAUACCGCAUAACAUCGUUGAAGGGCAUCCUUCGAUGAUCAAAGGAGCAAUCCGCUAUGAGAUGGGCCCGCGGCGCAUUAGCUAGUUGGUGAGGUAACGGCUCACCAAGGCGACGAUGCGUAGCCGACCUGAGAGGGUGAUCGGCCACAUUGGGACUGAGACACGGCCCAGACUCCUACGGGAGGCAGCAGUGGGGAAUAUUGCACAAUGGGGGAAACCCUGAUGCAGCAACGCCGCGUGAGUGAUGACGGCCUUCGGGUUGUAAAGCUCUGUCUUUGGGGACGAUAAUGACGGUACCCAAGGAGGAAGUCACGGCUAACUACGUGCCAGCAGCCGCUGUAA